rnacentral:rRNA from 1 species
CCAUUUCUGACGCUAAGGCACGAAAGCGUGGGGAGCGAACCGGAUUAGAUACCCGGGUAGUCCACGCCGUAAACGAUGGAUACUGGCUGUUGGAGGUAUCGACCCCUUCAGUAGCGAAGCUAACGCGUUAAGUAUCCCGCCUGUGGAGUACGGCCGCAAGGCUAAAACAUAAAGGAAUUGACGGGGACCCGCACAAGCGGUGGAUCGUGUUCUUUAAUUCGAUGCUAAACGAAGAACCUUACCAGGGCUUGACAUCCAGGGAAUUUUUGGGAAACCAAUUAGUGCCUUUUGGAACCCUGUGACAGGUGAUGCAUGGCCGUCGUCAGCUCGUGUCGUGAGAUGUUUGGUUAAGUCCAUCAACGAGCGCAACCCUUGCAACUAGUUGGAUUUUUCUAGUUGGACUGCUUCGGUAACGGAGAGGAAGGAGGGGAUGAUGUCAGGUCAGUAUUUCCCUUACGUCCUGGGCUAGAAACACGAUACAAUGGCUAGUACAAUGCGCAGCGAAGCCGCGAGGUGAAGCAAAUCGCAUCAAAGCUAGUCCCAGUUCGGAUUGGAGGCUGAAACUCGCCUCCAUGAAGUCGGAAUCGCUAGUAAUCGCAGAUCAGCAAGCUGCGGUGAAUACGUUCCCGGGUCUUGUACACACCGCCCGUCAAACCAUGAAAGUGACCAACACCCGAAGUCCGAUUCGUCGGCCUAAGGUGGGGGGCAUGAUUGGGGUUAAGUCGUAACAAGGUAUCCGUACCGGAAGGUGCGGAUG